UUCAUGUGUUUAUUUCAAUGAUAAGUCAAUUGAUUUGUAGGUUAUUGGACAAGUUCACCUCGAACUGGGGUUACUAUUUGAAAACUGGAGAUGUGGUUUUCAGACACAUAUAGGCUUCUAUGGUUGCUGUCUGUAUAAUCUUUUAGCACUUUUUUUCUUAGAAAUUCCAGCGUUGUUGGUAGACGUGAGUAAGCUUGUCUCCAUCUACAACACCACCAACAAAGAUGUUGACGACCACCCCACCAAAGAUGUUGACCCCUAGAGUAACGGCCCAGGUGAAAAUCGGGGAUGAUGGAACUGUCACCGUCACGUCACAUUGUUGAGAGACAGCAAAAGCUUGUACCACCCCCAAUGGGUUCUUCGGUGUCGAUUUCCUCCUCAAGUCCAACCUGAAAGGAGGUGUCAGUAAGCUGAAUCCCUCUGCUGAGCGUCGGCAGGCUCUUGCCUCGAGGAAAAUUCAAGCUUUACAGAUGCCGUUUUAAACCGAUUUCCGACAAUUUCAAUCAGUGAAGAACCAAGACGGACUCCUUACUGGAAUGACAGGCAAUUUAUUUCUUUGCUUUUCCACAGUUCCAAAAGGUCUUCCAAAAGAAAAUGUGUAUAUUAUUAUUUGUGCAUCUCGUUUAUAUUUUAUUUAUAUUUUAAUAAUAACACUGCUUAAAGUAAUUUGAAUUGCUUUGAUUUAUAAUUUAUAUUUUGUACAUUUUCAUUUCAAUGGCAUUCUUUAAAAAUGUUGCACUGCUGGGUUCAGUGUCUGUGCCUGAUAA